rnacentral:misc_RNA from 1 species
GCCUACUUCAGUGGAUCAAACUGACCUUGACAGUCAGAAAGAGGAUGAUCCCUCUGGUGCAACUGGACUGGGCCGUUCAGGUACCGUGCGGAGGGGGAAAGAGGUACUCUUAGAUGGAAGUGCAGAUGAGGAUUCCUCAAAGCAAGAUGAAUUGCAAUUAGAAUCUGGGAUAGAGUGGUCUGCCCUAGAAGGAGGUUUCUCGCGUCAACACCCUGUUAAAUUUGCCAAGGUUUGUACCUGGAAAGGAGGAUAAGAAGGCUGCCAGAGAGACAAAGACUCGGAAAUGACAAAAGAAAGGUUUUGUUAACCUGAGCAUUCUUAAUUAAUUUCUAUUCCAUUCUUUCUUUUUCCUUAUUUCUGUAUUGGUUUUUUUCUUUUUCUUGACAGAAGGGGG